rnacentral:SRP_RNA from 1 species
CCGUACUACAUGGGGAGCUGGCGGUGCCCUGUACCCGCAAACCGCCUUAGCGGGGUGGAGUUCCCCGGCCCAGGGCCAGCUUUGUGGAGCCUGCCCCAGGUAAGCAGUGUUGACAAUUGGGUCCCGCGCAACAAAAAUUUGCGAACCCUGUCAGGUCCGGAAGGAAGCAGCAGUAAGCAAACCCUUUUGUGUGCCGCGGGGAAGCCUGAUUCGAGCCGGCUGCCUGGGUAACGUCUGGAAGGUUUGGUUCAAAGCCGGGGUGUACGG